ACGGGAGGCAGCAGUGAGGAAUAUUGGUCAAUGGGCGCAAGCCUGAACCAGCCAAGUAGCGUGAAGGAUGACUGCCCUAUGGGUUGUAAACUUCUUUUAUAUGGGAAUAAAGUGAGCCACGCGUGGUUUUUUGUAUGUACCAUAUGAAUAAGCAUCGGCUAAUUCCGUGCCAGCAGCCGCGGUAAUACGGAAGAUGCGAGCGUUAUCCGGAUUUAUUGGGUUUAAAGGGAGCGUAGGCGGGUCCUUAAGUCAGUGGUCAAAGCGUGUGGCUCAACCAUACCACGCCGUUGAUACUGGGGACCUUGAGUGCACAUAAGGAUGGUGGAAUUCGUCGUGUAGCGGUGAAAUGCUUAGAUAUGACGAAGAACUCCGAUUGCGAAGGCAGCUGUCCGGGGUGUAACUGACGCUAAUGCUCGAAAGUGCGGGUAUCAAACAGGAUUAGAUACCCUGGUA
rnacentral:rRNA from 2 species